rnacentral:rRNA from 1 species
CCGGAAUUAUUGGGCGUAAAGAGUGAGCAGGCGGUUUUUUAAGUCUGAAGUCAAAUCCUGUGGCUCAACCACAGUUCGCUUUGGAAACUGAAGAACUAGAGUGCGGGAGAGGUAAGCGGAAUUCCAUAUGUAGCGGUGAAAUGCACAGAUAUAUGGAGGAACACCGGUGGCGAAGGCGGCUUACCAGCCCGAUACUGACGCUCAGUCACGAAAGCGUGGGGAGCAAAUAGGCUUAGAUACCCUAGUAGUCCACGCCGUAAACGUUGAGGACCUGAUGCCGGAGUAUUUCGGUGUCGUAGCUAACGCGUUAAGUCCUCCGCCUGGGUACUACGUUCGCAAGAAUAAAACUUAAAGGAAUUGACGGGGGCCCGCACAAGCAGUGGAGCAUGUGGUUUAAUUCGUCGCUACGCGAAAAACCUUACCAGGGUUUGACAUCCCGCUAAAAGUCUUGGAAACAAGAUCAUAGUUAUAGCGGUGAAAGGUGGUGCAUGGUUGUCGUCAGCUCGUGUCGUGAGAUGUUGGGUUAAGUCCCCUAACGAGCGCAACCCUUGUCUCUAUUUGCCAUCAUUAAGUUGGGAACUAUAGAGAGACUGCCGGUGCAAACCGGAGGAAGAUGGGGAUGACGUCAAAUCAUCAUGCCCCUUAUGCCCUGGGCCACACACGUGCUACAAUGGCCGGUACAGAGAGAAGCAAUCCCGUGAGGAGGAGCAAAUCUCACAAAGCCGGUCUCAGUUCGGAUUGGAGUCUGCAACUCGACUCCAUGAAGCUGGAAUUGCUAGUAAUCGCAGAUCAGCAUUGCUGCGGUGAAUACGUUCCCGGGCCUUGUACACACCGCCCGUCACACCAUGAGAGUCGGCAAUACUCGAAGUCGUUAUCUUAACCCGCAAGGGAGGGAGGCGCCUAAGGUAGGGCUGAUGAUUGGGGUUAAGUCGUAACAAGGUAUCCCUACGGGAACGUGGGGAUG